rnacentral:rRNA from 1 species
AUUUGAAAUCGUGUUUCGGCACGAGUUGUAGAUUGCAGGUUGGAGUCUUUGUGGAAGCGUGUGUCUAAGUCCCUUGGAACAGGGUGCCAUUGAGGGUGAGAGCCCCGUGAGACGCGUGCGGAAGCUGUAAGGCCCUUCUGACGAGUCGAGUUGUUUGGGAAUGCAGCUCUAAGUGGGUGGUAAAUUCCAUCUAAGGCUAAAUAUUGGCGAGAGACCGAUAGCGAACAAGUACUGUGAAGGAAAGAUGAAAAGCACUUUGAAAAGAGAGUGAAACAGCACGUGAAAUUGUUGAAAGGGAAGGGUAUUGGGCUCGACAUGGGAUUUGCGCACCGCUGCUCCUUGUGGGCGGCGCUCUGUGCUUUUCCUGGGCCAGCAUCGGUUUUUGCCGCAGGAGAAGGCGUGCUGGAAUGUGGCUCUUCGGAGUGUUAUAGCCAGUGCGAGAUGCUGCGUGCGGGGACCGAGGACUGCGACAUCUGUCUCGGAUGCUGGCACAACGGCGCAAUACCGCCCGUCUU